UCCAUACAUCGUUAUAUACAAAUGUACACAAGACGAUACAGUAGAUAAGCGAUUUACAACAUUUUCUCAAACGUAUUAUAUACGUGUAAUUUGACAGUGUUGCGAGAACAUCGCUGUCUAGUUAUCUCGGCGCUUUCUAUUUCCAAGGAAAGAAGAAGAAAAAAGUAACCACAACGAAUCCGCUGCACGUCAAUGCUAUAGAAUUUUGUGGCAGCGUAUAGUAAAAGGAAAAAGAAGGAAAAGAGCUACGUAAUUCUAAUAAUUGAACGAGUCUAAUUCGUGUAAAUGCGUGUCUGAAAGAGCCUGAAAGAUUCACAUGAACAGAAUAAAAGUUUGAGGUGCACUUCGAGAAACAACUCAAGGCGCACGCAUACUCGCAGAAAUUAUCAAGGGAAAUGAAAUUGACGAAAGUAUAAUGGAAAAUACAAUGUUUCGUGCGUGGAUUCCUGACCUGCUUUGGAGUGUGUGAAGACUGUGUAAGAAGCUUGGAACGACCCAUACGUACACGUAAAAUAUAAGAAUCGAGUCAUGCGAAGGGAGCACCGCGAAGACCGAUACGGAAAAGAGACGAGUCGAGUGGAAUCACCGAGGAUUUGCAGCAUCAGCCACGAGUGCAGAAGUGAAUGAAUGUAACGUGGAGCGUGGGCGUGACAGAGAGCAGAGGUUCUCAUGAAUGUCGAGCCCGCAUUGGGAUGAUCCACGGACCAAGCACACAUUCGCAUCGCUACGUGCCCACGAGAAUCGAUGAAUGAGUCAAUACAAAGGAAAAAUAGAAGGAGCGAGUUGUCGGGGCAUUCCGAACCGCAGAGAUGAUUCUCGGGAGCGAAAGACUCGAACGGAGGGUGUGCGCACAAGCGAGAUCUCCUGGCGGAUGGGUUUCGAGGAGAUUCG